UACGUAGGGUGCAAGCGUUGUCCGGAUUUAUUGGGCGUAAAGAGCUCGUAGGCGGCUUGUCGCGUCGUCCGUGAAAACCUGCGGCUCAACUGCAGGCUGGCGGUCGAUACGGGCAGGCUGGAGUUCGGUAGGGGAGACUGGAAUUCCUGGUGUAGCGGUGAAAUGCGCAGAUAUCAGGAAGAACACCCGUGGCGAAAGCGGCUCUCUGGAACGGUACUGACGCUGAGACGCGAAAGCGUGGGGAGCGAACAGG
rnacentral:rRNA from 1 species